AGACUCUACGGGAGGCAGCAGUGGGGAAUAUGGACAAUGGGCGCAAGCUGAUCCAGCAUGCCGCGUGUGUGAAGAAGGCUUAUGGUGUAAAGCACUUUAAGCGAGGAGGAGGCUACUCUAGUUAAUACUAGAGAUAGUGGACGUUACUCGCAGAAUAAGCACCGGCUAACUCUGUGCCAGCAGCCGCGGUAAUACAGAGGGUGCAAGCGUUAAUCGGAUUUACUGGGCGUAAAGCGCGCGUAGGCGGCUAAUUAAGUCAAAUGUGAAAUCCCCGAGCUUAACUUGGGAAUUGCAUUCGAUACUGGUUAGCUAGAGUGUGGGAGAGGAUGGUAGAAUUCCAGGUGUAGCGGUGAAAUGCGUAGAGAUCUGGAGGAAUACCGAUGGCGAAGGCAGCCAUCUGGCCUAACACUGACGCUGAGGUGCGAAAGCAUGGGGAGCAAACAGGAUUAGAUACCCUGGUAGUCCAUGCCGUAAACGAUGUCUACUAGCCGUUGGGGCCUUUGAGGCUUUAGUGGCGCAGCUAACGCGAUAAGUAGACCGCCUGGGGAGUACGGUCGCAAGACUAAAACUCAAAUGAAUUGACGGGGGCCCGCACAAGCGGUGGAGCAUGUGGUUUAAUUCGAUGCAACGCGAAGAACCUUACCUGGCCUUGACAUAGUAAGAACUUUCCAGAGAUGGAUUGGUGCCUUCGGGAACUUACAUACAGGUGCUGCAUGGCUGUCGUCAGCUCGUGUCGUGAGAUGUUGGGUUAAGUCCCGCAACGAGCGCAACCCUUUUCCUUAUUUGCCAGCGAGUAAUGUCGGGAACUUUAAGGAUACUGCCAGUGACAAACUGGAGGAAGGCGGGGACGACGUCAAGUCAUCAUGGCCCUUACGGCCAGGGCUACACACGUGCUACAAUGGUCGGUACAAAGGGUUGCUACCUAGCGAUAGGAUGCUAAUCUCAAAAAGCCGAUCGUAGUCCGGAUUGGAGUCUGCAACUCGACUCCAUGAAGUCGGAAUCGCUAGUAAUCGCGGAUCAGAAUGCCGCGGUGAAUACGUUCCCGGGCCUUGUACACACCGCCCGUCACACCAUGGGAGUUUGUUGCACCAGAAGUAGCUAGCCUAACUGCAAAGAGGGCGGUUACCACCGGGUUGCCCCC
rnacentral:rRNA from 1 species